rnacentral:rRNA from 1 species
GCCUCAAUUAAAUUAUUUGAGGUAUUACCUGCUCAAUGCAAAAGUAAAUAGCCGCAGUAUUUUGACUGUGCAAAGGUAGCAUAAUAAAUUGGCCUUUAAUUGAGGUCUAGAAUGAAUGGUUUGACAAGAAUUUGACUGUCUUUAUUUAAUUAUUUUUGAAAUUAAAUUGUUUGUAAAAAUGCAUACAUUAGAGAGAGGGACGAAAAGACCCUAUAGAUCUUUAAAUAUUUGUCUGUUUAUUGUUAUAGAUUAAUUUUUUUAUUUGGGGAAAAACUUGAAUUGUGGAAAUUUCGGUUAAUUGAUAAAAGUGAAAGUAUUGAUUUUUGAUCCAUUGGAUGUGAAAAAAUGAAAAAGUUACCUUAGGGAUAACAGGACAAUGAUUUCCUAAAAGGCCUUAUUUUAGGAGGCGUUUGUUACCUCGAUGUUGAAUUAAGUUAUCUAAUUAGAGAAGAAAUUUUUAUAGUUGGUCUGUUCGACCAUUGAAAAC